UCCCGUUUAGCUCAGUUGGUAGAGCGCGUCACUAGUACCUAAUAAGUGGGCUAUGACGAGGUCAGUCGUUCGAGUCGGCUAAUGGGAA